AUCUAACUGACGAGUGCUAAAUAGGACGAAACAUUCAUCUUAAAU
rnacentral:hammerhead_ribozyme from 1 species